GACAGAGGGGGCAAGCGUUGCUCGGAAUUACUGGGCGUAAAGGGCGCGUAGGCGGGAUGGCAAGUCGGUCGUGAAAUCCCUCGGCUCAACUGAGGGUCGUCGAUCGAUACUGCCGUUCUUGAGGAUUGCAGAGGAGACUGGAAUUCCCGGUGUAGCGGUGAAAUGUGUAGAGAUCGGGAGGAACACCGGUGGCGAAGGCGGGUCUCUGGGCAAUUCCUGACGCUGAGGCGCGAAAGCGUGGGGAGCAAACGGG
rnacentral:rRNA from 1 species